rnacentral:antisense_RNA from 1 species
GCGGCCGCGCGGCCCCGCCCGUCGGCCUCGCUUCCGCCACAGAGCCCGCAGCACGCCGCCGCCUCAGCCUAGGUCACAUUACUAGGAAAGCCAAGUCUCUCUUCCUGGAUUUCUUCUCCUAUAAACCGCCUGUUGAUACCUACCCACUUCUCUAUGGAGCACAGAUGAAGGAUAUUGGUCAUCUCCAGCAUCUAGCACAACGUCUGCAAUGGAACAGGCGAGCUGUGAAUAUUUGUGGAAUGCAUGGGUGGACUAAAGACCUAUCACCUCACUCUAGAAUGCCCAGCAUGUUGGAGCAUGUUAAGCACUAUAUGAGCUGCUGAGGAUACAGGAAUAAACAACAACACAGGUGUGUCCUCUGCCCAAACCAGGCAUAAAUGAGCUUCCAAAUGAACACAAACAAAUCUGGAAGGCUUUUGAGGAAGAAGGACCAUUAAAAAAGCUGCUGACGACUGCCUGGAAUCUGGUUUGGAGCAUCUCCAAAGCCAAUGUACUUUCCCCCAAGAAAAUACAGGAAGAUCUCUCUGCCCAGGCUUGGAAAUACAUAAGGAUCAGG